UGGAAGAGGUUCCUUGUUCUCCUGGAAGAGGUGUUUGCUUUAGGUCUGGAUUGGUUCUCCUUGACCCUGGCACUUUUGCCAAGGCUGCCAUCUGUGGAGCUGACAUCAUAUAGUCCGAUCAAGGUAUGAUGACACGUGGCUUCUGACCAACAGCAAUGCAAGUGUGAACUUGACUCGUGCGCAUGGAAUUUACCGGUCUUCACGACGUUCCUCAGCACUCUGAAGGAGCCGGCCUGAUAGGAUGAUGGAAUGGGCUUCCAAAGAUUUAGUUUCCACACCAGUUGGGUCGUUAUACCUUGCAAAGGGGAGAUACAAGAAUGUCAGGAUAUGGUAUAGGCGCUAAACCGCUGACUAAUAAGAGCUGGGAGUCCUGGAUGCCGGCAAACCAUGUGGGCUGGGGAUGAUACCUUUUUAUCACUACCAACAUCGGGCUGCUGCUGUGUGUGAGAUGCGUGUUCAGUUUGAGAUGCCAGGCGCUCUCAUAGUUCACACUUACCGUUCACCUCAUGUGCAUCUCACUGACACAGGGCAGCAUCCAGGCCCACAGCCCCUGCUGUAUCUCCUCCCUACGCAUCUCCAAACCCUGGUGCUGACUCUGUGAUGGAGAUGCCAGCUCCUUGGGCAAACCACCUGUGUUGUCAUGGCUGGAGACUGGGAGGGCUUCAGGCGGUCCCGUGAGUUUCACUUUCUCCUUGUUCUGUCUUCUUGGCAUCCAGAUUUUGCCUGCUCUGAGGGCCCCAUCGGGAUACCAGGCCCAC
rnacentral:lncRNA from 1 species